UGGCUCGAGGACGAACGCUGGCGGCGCGCCUAACACAUGCAAGUCGAACGAGCGGAGGACUUCGGUCCAAAGCUAGUGGCGGACGGGUGAGUAACACGUGAGGAACCUGCCUUUCAGAGUGGGAUACCGUUUGGAAACGAACGUUAAUACCGCAUAACGUAUAUUGAUCGCAUGGUCGAUAUACCAAAGAUUUAUCGCUGAGAGAUGGCCUCGCGUCUGAUUAGAUAGUUGGUGAGGUAACGGCCCACCAAGGCGACGAUCGGUAGCCGACCUGAGAGGGUGAUCGGCCACAUUGGAACUGAGACACGGUCCAAACUCCUACGGGAGGCAGCAGUGGGGAAUAUUGGGCAAUGGGCGCAAGCCUGACCCAGCAACGCCGCGUGAGGGAAGAAGGUUUUCGGAUUGUAAACCUCUGUCCUCAAGGACGAAGGAAGUGACGGUACUUGAGGAGGAAGCCCCGGCUAACUACGUG
rnacentral:rRNA from 1 species